UGGGGGAUAUUGCACAAUGGGCGAAAGCCUGAUGCAGCAACGCCGCGUGAGGGAAGACGGUUUUCGGAUUGUAAACCUCUGUUCUAAGUGACGAACAAAUGACGGUAGCUUAGGAGAAAGCCCCGGCUAACUACGUGCCAGCAGCCGCGGUAAUACGUAGGGGGCAAGCGUUGUCCGGAAUUACUGGGUGUAAAGGGAGCGCAGGCGGAGAAGCAAGUCAGUGGUGAAAACGAUGGGCUUAACUCAUCGACUGCCAUUGAAACUGUUUCCCUUGAGUGAAGUAGAGGCAGGCGGAAUUCCGAGUGUAGCGGUGAAAUGCGUAGAUAUUCGGAGGAACACCAGUGGCGAAGGCGGCCUGCUGGGCUUUAACUGACGCUGAGGCUCGAAAGUGUGGGGAGCA
rnacentral:rRNA from 1 species